AAGAAAGGGAAAAAAGGCUGGAGCAUCAGAUUCUCUUCGAAGACUUCUAGUCACCUCCCAAACCCUAACUUUCUCCGUUUCUCUGCAACCUUCUUCCUAGUUCCUACAAAGUACAAACUCCACCAUCACUUCCAACAAACGCCGUAGUGAAGCAUCACCGUCGCGGGUCGAAGCUUCACCGUCGCGAAUCGAGGCAUCUCUCGUGGAUCGAAGCGUCACCGUCACCGAAGCGUUGGUCGUCGUCUGGCUCUGACCUUCUGUGCUCUCGGCCUCUCCCACGUAUCUGAAAGUGAUGCUUCUGAACCUACCAAGGAGAAUGUCCCUCAUGCAUCUCCACCUGAAGAUUGUAGAGAGAAUGACGAAUGUGAAGAUGGGAAUGGAAUGGCUCUUGAUGAACCGUGCAAAACAUAGCAGAAGGGCAAGUAAAGAGCAAUGAAAAAUGCAACAGGCAGGAUAGUCAAUGAGUAAUACAAAUGGAAAAGUUCAAAGGGAAUUGAAGCCACCAGAGCUCUAGAGGUUAUAGAUUGUUUUUUAAGUUUGUGUUCCAUUUACGUAAUUUUAUUUAAUAUUUAAUUAAAUCGGUUAAACCUCAAUUGAACCUCAAUUGAAUUAUUGAACUAGUAAAUCAGUUACUUCAUCGGUUUAUUGAC